rnacentral:rRNA from 1 species
GGGCGAAAGCCUGAUGCAGCAACGCCGCGUGAGCGAUGAAGGCCUUUGGGUCGUAAAGCUCUGUCCUUGGGGAAGAAUAAAUGACGGUACCCUUGGAGGAAGCCCCGGCUAACUACGUGCCAGCAGCCGCGGUAAUACGUAGGGGGCAAGCGUUAUCCGGAAUUAUUGGGCGUAAAGAGUGCGUAGGUGGUUUUGUAAGCGCGGGGUGAAAGGCAAUGGCUCAACCAUUGUAAGCCUUGCGAACUGUAAGACUUGAGUGCAGGAGAGGAAAGUGGAAUUCCUAGUGUAGCGGUGAAAUGCGUAGAUAUUAGGAGGAACACCAGUGGCGAAGGCGACUUUCUGGACUGUAACUGACACUGAGGCACGAAAGCGUGGGGAGCAAACAGGAUUAGAUACCCUGGUAGUCCACGCCGUAAACGAUGAGCACUAGGUGUCGGGGCCGCAAGGUUUCGGUGCCGCAGUUAACGCAUUAAGUGCUCCGCCUGGGGAGUAC